CAGGGCAACCACAGAGAGACCUCCUGGUGGCAAAGGUUAGCCAUGUAUGAGACACAGGAAUGAAGCCCUUUGGAUACUUCCUGCCUCCAACUGACUCACGGACCCACUCCAUAUGCAAAAUCAAGCCAGCCCACAGCUCGGGGCAGAACUACUGAGUUCAUGAGCUAAGUAUAGAGUGUCGGUUCUUAUCAACUAAGCAGAGGGUAGUUUGUCACACAACUCCCAGUAGCUCACACACUCUCCAGUGUCUGCUCAUUGUAGUCUUGUGAGUACUGAAACUGCCCAAUUGCUAUAGAUAAUAGUCUAAGAGAACUAAGACUUGAGAUGGAAUGCUUUCUCUCUACACUGCCAUCUUGUUUAGUUCCUGCUUUGGCUGGGACAUUCCCAAGAUUCUUUAAAGUAAUUUCAGGCUGUGGGGAGCUGGCUUGCAAGUCUGCAGUGUGGUCUGUGACA
rnacentral:lncRNA from 1 species